rnacentral:rRNA from 1 species
GUGGGGAAUAUUGCGCAAUGGAGGCAACUCUGACGCAGCCAUGCCGCGUGCAGGAAGAAGGCGCUACGCGUUGUAAACUGCUUUUAACCGGGAAGAAACCCCAGGACGUGUCCUGGGUUGACGGUACCGGAGGAAUAAGCACCGGCUAACUUCGUGCCAGCAGCCGCGGUAAUACGAAGGGUGCAAGCGUUAUCCGGAUUCAUUGGGUUUACAGGGUGCGUAGGCGGAGCGUUAAGUCAGUGGUGAAAUCCUGCAGCUUAACUGUAGACUUGCCAUUGAUACUGGCGCUCUUGAGUGCGCUUGAAGUGGGCGGAAUGUGCCGUGUAGCGGUGAAAUGCUUAGAUAUGGCACAGAACACCAAUUGCGAAGGCAGCUCACUAAGGCGAUACUGACGCUGAGGCACGAAAGCGUGGGGAUCGAACAGGAUUAGAUACCCUUGUAGUCC